rnacentral:rRNA from 1 species
GAUGAACGCUGGCGGCGUGCCUAACACAUGCAAGUCGAACGAACAGACGAGGAGCUCGUUCUUCUGAGGUUGGCGGCGGGCGGGGGAGUGACACGUAGAUCACCAACCAAUUAUACUGGGAUUACUUCGGGGAACCGGAGACAAUACCGCAUCAUAGAUAGAACUGCAGGGUGCAGUAGGUAAUGGCAGUUUUGCUGUCACUUAUAGCUGAUUCCGCGCCGCAUUAGCUAGUUGGUAAGGUAACGGCUUACCAAGGCAACGAUGCGUAGCCGACCUGAGAGGGUGAUCGGCCACACUGGAACUGAGACACGGUCCAGACUCCUACGGGAGGCAGCAGUAGGGAAUCUUGCACAAUGGGCGAAAGCCUGACCGAGCAACGCCGCGUGAGUGAAGAAGGUCUUCGGAUCGUAAAACUCUGUUAUUAGGGAAGAACAGAAGUGUAAGUAACUAUGCACGUCUUGACGGUACCUAAAGAAAAAGCCCCGGCUAACUACGUG